rnacentral:rRNA from 1 species
AAGUCGUAACAAGGUCUCCGUUGGUGAANCNNNGGAGGGAUCAUUACAGGAUGCAACACUCCCGUAACCACUGUGAACCUACCUACCACGUUGCCUCGGCGGGUGCUGGCUCGCCCAGCGCUCAGCCUGCCGGUGGCCUACAACUCUGUCUCAUCUGCGUUGGCAUCUCCGAGAAAACACAAACGAAUCAAAACUUUCAACAACGGAUCUCUUGGUUCUGGCAUCGAUGAAGAACGCAGCGAAAUGCGAUAAGUAAUGUGAAUUGCAGAAUUCAGUGAAUCAUCGAAUCUUUGAACGCACAUUGCGCCCGCCAGCACUCUGGCGGGCAUGCCUGUUCGAGCGUCAUUACAACCCUCAGGCCCUGCCUGGUGUUGGGGCCCUGCGCUUGCAGGCCCUCAAAGACAGCGGCGGGUGCGCCCGGAACCGAACGUAGUAGCUUACUCUCGUUUUGGAACCGCGGCGCGCUCCGGCCGUAAAAACCCCAACUUACGUUAGUUGACCUCGGAUCAGGUAGGAAUACCCGCUGAACUUA